GCCACUGUGGUGUAUAGUGGUGAGAGUGUCUGACUGGGACCUGGGAGACAAGGGUUCAAAUCCCUGUUGGUGGUG